CCAAUCAAACUCGGAGAUAGCUGGUUCUCCGCGAAAUCUAUUUAGGUAGAGCGUCGCACGAAUACCUUGGGGGGUAGAGCACUGAAUGGGUAAUGGGGACUCACCGUCUUACUGAUCCUAAUCAAACUCCGAAUACCCAAGAGUAAUAUGCGGCAGACACACUGCGGAUGCUAACGUCCGUAGUGGAGAGGGAAACAACCCUGACCCUCAGCUAAGGCCCCUAAUUCAUGGCUAAGUGGGAAAGCAGGUGGGACGACCAAAACAACCAGGAAGUUGGCUUAGAAGCAGCCAUCUUUUAAAGAUAGCGUAACAGCUCACUGGUCUAAUUUAAGUUAUCCUGCGGCGAAGAUGUACCGGGGCUCAAGCCAUGAGCCGAAGCUAGGGAUGCAAUUUAUUGCAUGGUAGCGGAGCGUUCUGUGAUAUAGAACGCUGCGUCUUUAGUAUCUUAGGAUAUUGUGGACGCAAUGUUCUGACUGUGAAGCCGGCGCGUAAGCGAUCCGGUGGAGUGAUCAGAAGUGAGAAUGUUGACAUGAGUAGCGACAAACAGGGUGAGAGACCCUGUCGCCGAAAGUCCAAGGGUUCCUGCUUAAAGCUAAUCUGAGCAGGGUAAGCCGACCCCUAAGGCGAGGCCGAAAGGCGUAGUCGAUGGGAACCAGUUUAAUAUUACUGGGCCAGGAGAUGGUGACGGAUCGAAAGCGUAGUGACUCCUUAUCGGAUUGAAGUUGCUGCCGGACGGUUCCUGGAAAUAGCCCUCCAUUAGAUCGUACCCUAAACCAACACAGGUGGACUGGUAGAGAAUACCAAGGCGCUUGAGAGAACUACAUUGAAGGAACUCGGCAAAAUGCCUCCGUAAGUUCGCGAGAAGGAGGCCCCAUCAGAAGGCAACUUUUGGUGGGGGGCACAGACCAGGGGGUGGCGACUGUUUACUAAAAACACAGGGCUCUGCGAAGUCGUAAGACGACGUAUAGGGUCUGACGCCUGCCCGGUGCUGGAAGGUUAAGAGGAGGUGUGCAAGCACUGAAUUGAAGCCCCAGUAAACGGCGGCCGUAACUAUAACGGUCCUAAGGUAGCGAAAUUCCUUGUCGGGUAAGUUCCGACCUGCACGAAUGGCGUAACGACUUCCCCGCUGUCUCCAAUGUAGACUCAGCGAAAUUGAAUUGCCUGUUAAGAUGCAGGCUUCCCGCGGUUAGACGGAAAGACCCCGUGCACCUUUACUACAGCUUCACACUGGCAUUAGGUCAGACGUGUGCAGGAUAGGUGGUAGGCUUUGAAACUCGGACGCUAGUUCGGGUGGAGCCUCCCUUGAGAUACCACCCCUGUCUGUCUUGAUGUCUAACCGCGGUCCGUUAUCCGGAUCCGGGACCCUGUGUGGCGGGUAGUUUGACUGGGGCGGUCGCCUCCUAAAGAGUAACGGAGGCGCGCGAUGGUUGGCUCAGACCGGUCGGAAAUCGGUCGUCGAGUGCAAUGGCAUAAGCCAGCCUGACUGUGAGUCUGACAAGACGAGCAGAGACGAAAGUCGGUCAUAGUGAUCCGGUGGUCCCGAGUGGAAGGGCCAUCGCUCAACGGAUAAAAGGUA
rnacentral:rRNA from 1 species